rnacentral:rRNA from 1 species
GGCAGCAGUGGGGAAUCUUCCGCAAUGGGCGCAAGCCUGACGGAGCAACGCCGCGUGAGUGAAGAAGGCCUUCGGGUUGUAAAACUCUGUCAUCAGGGAAGAAGAAAGUGACGGUACCUGAGGAGGAAGCCCCGGCUAACUACGUGCCAGCAGCCGCGGUAAAACGUAGGGGGCGAGCGUUGUCCGGAAUUACUGGGCGUAAAGGGCGCGUAGGCGGUUAUCCAAGUCAGGGGUGAAAACCUUGGGCUCAACUCAGGGCCUGCCUCUGAAACUGGGUAACUUGAGGGCAGGAGAGGGGAGUGGAAUUCCCAGUGUAGCGGUGAAAUGCGUAGAUAUUGGGAGGAACACCAGUGGCGAAGGCGGCUCUCUGGCCUAACCCUGACGCUGAGGCGCGAAAGCGUGGGGAUCAAACAGGAUUAGAUACCCUGGUAGUCCACGCCGUAAACGAUGAGUACUAAGUGU